GUUCCAGCACACCCUAUAUAGCUGGUCGACGUUAGAAGGUAGAUUUUCAAGUGGAGUACAGGAAAAUGGCGACUACCUUGCGCACUCCCUCUGAGCAUAAGGAGUCUCUAACAACUUGUAAAAGAUCACAGACGCAAUUGAAUUGAAGAGGACUGAGAUCACAGCUAGAAACGUAUUGUAGUAGUACGAUUGUGAGCAGUGUUUAGUUGCUCUAUACUAGAGAGAACUCUGGAGAGGAACGCUUCGAAAGAAAGUUGGAAACCUCUGUUUACCUUGGUCGUGGCUUCCUGUAUCGGAAAACCAUCUCGAGAACCGGUCAGAAAAAUUC